rnacentral:rRNA from 1 species
UUCGGCAGGCCUAAUACAUGCAAGUCGAGGGGCAGCACGGGCAGCAAUGUCUGGUGGCGACCGGCGCUCGGGUGCGUAACGCGUAUGCAACCUACCUUUAACAGGGGGAUAGCUCCGAGAAAUCGGGAUUAAUACCCCAUAGUAUUGAGCUGUGGAUCACAGUUUGAUUAAAGUUCCGGCGGUUAAAGAUGGGCAUGCGUGCCAUUAGCUAGUUGGUGAGGUAACGGCUCACCAAGGCAACGAUGGCUAGGGGUUCUGAGAGGAUUAUCCCCCACACUGGUACUGAGACACGGACCAGACUCCUACGGGAGGCAGCAGUAAGGAAUAUUGGGCAAUGGGCGCAAGCCUGACCCAGCCAUGCCGCGUGCAGGAAGACAGCCUUAUGGGUUGUAAACUGCUUUUGUCAGGGAAUAAACCCCCGCUCGUGCAGCGGGGCUGAAGGUACCUGAAGAAUAAGCACCGGCUAACUCCGUGCCAGCAGCCGCAGUAAUACGGAGGGUGCAAGCGUUAUCCGGAUUUAUUGGGUUUAAAGGGAGCGCAGGCGGGUUUGUAAGUCAGCGGUGAAAUCCCACCGGCUCACCGUGGAACUGCCAUUGAUACUGCAGGCCUUGAAGUGUAUUUGAAGUGGGCGGAAUGUAUCAUGUAGCGGUGAAAUGCAUACAUAUGCUACACAACACCAAUUGCGAAGGC